GAUGAACGCUGGCGGCGUGCCUAAUACAUGCAAGUCGAGCGAACAGACGAGGAGCUUGCUCCUCUGACGUUAGCGGCGGACGGGUGAGUAACACGUGGAUAACCUACCUAUAAGACUGGGAUAACUUCGGGAAACCGGAGCUAAUACCGGAUAAUAUAUUGAACCGCAUGGUUCAAUAGUGAAAGACGGUUUUGCUGUCACUUAUAGAUGGAUCCGCGCCGCAUUAGCUAGUUGGUAAGGUAACGGCUUACCAAGGCAACGAUGCGUAGCCGACGUGAGAGGGGGGGGGCCCGCAGGAGAGAGGGACCGGGGACAGUGCGCCGGGGGGAGGCGCAAGAGGGAAAUCUGCGGCAGGGGGGGAAAGCCGGCCGGAGCAGCGCGGGGGGAGAGAGAAGGUUUUCGGGUGCGAAAACCUUUUUUUUGGGGGAAAAACAAAUUUGUAAGUAAAUAUACCGUUCUGGACGGUACUUAAUAAAAAAGCCACGGCUAACUACGUG
rnacentral:rRNA from 1 species